AAGCAUUAAGUUCAUUAAUAAAUCAUAACUUGAAUAAGGAAAAAUAAAUCUAAUUGCAUAAAUUGGAAAAGAGAUUAAGCUACAUCAAACCCCUAGUAUAAGAAUUUAGUUACACAUGGUACUUAAAUAAAACUCAAUAAUACUUGAUAAAUAUUCCAUAAUCAAUAAGAAUAAUGAAAGAAAUAAACAAGAUUAAGAGUUUAGAAAUAAGAACUAGU
rnacentral:lncRNA from 1 species